rnacentral:lncRNA from 1 species
AGUAUCAAAGUACACAAUAUCUACUACAACAAGCGUUAAAUGUAUAAAUAAACUAUACAGUUGAUCAAAAUUAAUGACUACAAUCUAGUAAAUAGAAAAUGAUGCACAAGAAUUUGAUAAUAGUAUUUCCUUGAGAACAUCAUUGAUUGCACGAGCCAACUGAAAUAUUUCCUUUAGACAGGCAGCCUGUAAAUUCAGAGAUACAACGAGAAUAACAUUAGCAAAUGUAUCACCACAAAUAACCUAAAAUCAUCAAAAUAAAUAUAAAUAAAUGAGAAGAACUAGUAUUAAUAAAAGAAAAGACAUUAUAGGGAAGGUGCAGUUGAUUCAGCUAAUAAAAAAAGAAGAUCAUACCGCAAUGAGCCCAAGAAGCUAGAGAAUUGAGGUACAAUAUGAGGGCUCUACUCAGAUUGUCUGCCAUUUCCCUCUCUGUUUUUUUCUGUAUGUAUAGACUUGUAUACAAGUGUAAUUGCGAAAGAAGAAAUUGCAAAAGUUAAUAGUGACAGAGCUUAAAAAGGAUUGGGAUCUAAUGCUCCGAUUCAAUAUAUACAAACUAAGAAACAACAUAUAAAUUUAAAACCUGGCUUCAACAGAAUUGAGGGCGACUUCUUUUCUGUGAACCGACGGCGGGUGGGUGCGUGGCUCUUCUCUUUUCAGCGGCUACGCUGCGUGGCGGGAGAAGAAAAGAUGGCGUGGACUAUACAGUGGGCAGAAUGAUGGCGAGAGGGUGGAUCGGCGAGAAGGCGGCGUGGAACAGCGGCGAGAUAGCGUGGCUAGGUUUUAUCGGUGAUAUAAGAUUUUUUGAGUUCGUGCAGAGUGGGAGGCUGAAGUGGUGGAAGUUGAAGAAUUUUAUUUAAUAUUUAAA